GGAGGGGUAGCGAAGUGGCUAAACGCGGCGGACUGUAAAUCCGCUCCCUUGGGUUCGGCGGUUCGAAUCCGUCCCCCUCCACCA
rnacentral:tRNA from 6 species